GGCAGCAGCUAAGAAUAUUCCGCAAUGGACGAAAGUCUGACGGAGCGACGCCGCGUGGACGAUGAAGGCCGGAAGGUUGUAAAGUCCUUUUGGGGUCGAGGAAGGCCUCUGGAAGAGAAUGUCCGGAGGGUGACGGUAGACCGUGAAUAAGCACCGGCUAAUUACGUGCCAGCAGCCGCGGUAACACGUAAGGUGCAAGCGUUGUUCGGAUUCAUUGGGCGUAAAGGGCAUGUAGGCGGCUCAGCAAGCCUGGGGUGAAAUUGCGCGGCCUAACCGCGUAGCUGCCCCGGGAACUGCAGGGCUGGAGUCACUGAAGGGGAGCCGGAAUUCCAGGUGUAGGGGUGAAAUCUGUAGAUAUCUGGAAGAACACCGAUGGCGAAGGCAGGCUCCUGGCGGAUGACUGACGCUGAGGUGCGAAGGUGCGGGGAGCGAACAGGAUUAGAUAUCCUGGUAGUCCGCACAGUAAACGAUGCACGCUGGGUGUCCGGCCAUGAGGCUGGGUGCCGAAGCAAACGCGGUAAGCGUGCCGCCUGGGGAGUAUGCCCGCAAGGGUGAAACUCAAAGGAAUUGACGG
rnacentral:rRNA from 1 species